rnacentral:rRNA from 1 species
CAGAGGGUGCAAACGUUGUUCGGAAUUACUGGGCGUAAAGCGCGUGUAGGCGGCCCUGCAAGUCGGGUGUGAAAUCCCAUGGCUCAACCAUGGAAGUGCACUCGAAACUGCAGGGCUAGAGUCCUGGAGAGGAAGGUGGAAUGCUUGGUGUAGAGGUGAAAUUCGUAGAUAUCAAGCGGAACACCGGUGGCGAAGGCGGCCUUCUGGACAGUGACUGACGCUGAGACGCGAAAGCGUGGGGAGCAAACAGGAUUAGAUACCCUGGUAGUCCACGCCGUAAACGAUGAGUGCUAGGUGUCACGGGCUUUGACCCUCGUGGUGCCGAAGCUAACGCGUUAAGCACUCCGCCUGGGGAGUACGGUCGCAAGACUA